GUGCGGUCACAUUUUUGAAUGUUGGUUUUGCCAACACGCCAAAGGCGUGAAUAAAUCGCUUUAGUGAUUGAUGAAUAAUUUUUGGAGAAAUUUAUGAA
rnacentral:ncRNA from 1 species